GUCAGGAAGGCUACCACCCAGAAUAAGCUAAGACUUGAAAAGGAUACAAAACUCAAUAUUAGGAAAAUGUGAAGGGAAAUUACAAUGGGGGUUUUAAGUUUUAUUUGAGCAAGAAGAACAAGGAAGCAAUUUGCCUACUGCCUGGAGCAAGUGAGGUAAUGUUGACAGAUAUCAGACAGAAAGCAGAUCAUCCCCAGUUCAGUAUUUUCUGUAGAGAAGGCUGUUCAGAGAGAGAAAGUCAAAUGAAAGAAGAACAUCUUGAAUUUAUACAAUGACUGGGAGAAGGCUUAAUGUGUUCUUAGAAUUGUAACUCCUAUUUGGAGAGAUUGCAAAAAGGAGCACCAGGGACAGAACCCUUGGAAGGGCCACAGGGGAUGGCAAAUGGCUCUCUCAGUUAGCUGGCUGAGCAUGUGAGCAGUCCGUACGACCAAGAUCAUUGUUGUCUCCAGCAGUGGAGAGCACCAGUUGCAGGAAUUUCAUCAGGGGCAUACAAGUCGUGGAUUUGACUGGGACAAUUUCUUGUACAUUUCCAUUGUUUUUAACAAAGCAGUGAUAAAUUCUAACAGAUAAUGCAACUCAGUCUACUUGGAUGUUCACACCUGAGACUGGAGAAGACCUGCUGCCUUCUGCAGAGCCAAACAUUCCUCACAUGCUCCUCCACAAUGCUAGUUAAUGCAGCAAGAAUAGUCUUAUAUAGACUAUAAACUCCUGGUACACUGUGUCUACAUUGCUCACUGCAGUAUCCCAACAUCUAAGACCAUGGUCUUAGAUGUCUGGUACAGGACUGGUGCUCAGUAUGCAUUGAAUGAAUAAAUGAAUGAAUAUAGCAAAGCA
rnacentral:lncRNA from 1 species